ensembl:lncRNA
AUUAAACCAUGGCCUCCAGAAUGAAUCUCUCUGAAGAACAUGACACACAGAUAAAGACAGUCAAGAGUCAGAUUCAGGGGCGUGAAUCAGAUUUAUCUGAACACAUGGAUGUGUCUGUGAGGAAAAACCCAGCGAUGGAUGUUUCAGAUCUCUGCAGAGAGGAAGACUCUUCUGUUGAGUCCAGUCUGUGUCAGAAUGAAUCUCCUGAACCCAGCUGUGUGUCCAUCAAGAGUGACCGGUCAAUGGGUCAACCAAUUCAUUUCAGCUCUGGAGACACAUCUGCUGAUCUGAGUCAAAAACAUAAAGGACGAGAAUCACAUACAGCAAAGAAGAAAUUAGACUCCAUUUUCAAGGAGCUUGAGCACAAAAUCAUCUCUGAGUUAAAAAGCUUUAAGAGACUACUGAGUCCAGAUUACCCAGAAUGCUCUGAAAGAGACCGUUCUGAUGAUGAGGGUCAUAACAGAGUCAGAGAGGGUCUUCUGAAGAUCACACUGCUCCUCCUGAGGAAGAUGAACCAGACAGACCUCGCUGACACACUACAGACCAGUAAAGAGCUCUGGAUCAGCAGAUUAUAGUCUGUGUUUUUAUUAUCAUCCUUCUGUCUUCAGUCACUAAUGUUCCUGAAUGUCACGACACAAUCUAAUAUCUAACAUAUCAAACCUAAAAAUACAUUUCUAAUAUAUUGCUCUGUCAAUAACAACAAUUAUUUUCCUUUGCUCAGAACUGAUGCCUGUGUAUCAACAAAAACUCAGAUCCAGACUACAGGAUAAAUAUGAGAGACUCAGUGAAGGACUGUCCAAUCAUGGAGACUCAACACGUCUGAAUGAGAUCUACACAGAGCUCUACAUCACAGAGGGAGGCAGUGGAGAGGUCAAUAAUGAACAUGAGGUGAGACAGAUUGAGACAGUGUCCAGGAGACCAGAGACACAGGAGACACCAAUCAACUGCAAUGACAUAUUUAAACCCUCACCUGGACAAGACAAACCCAUCAGAACUGUGCUGACUAAAGGAGUCGCUGGGAUUGGAAAAACAGUCUCUGUGCAGAAGUUCAUUCUGGGACUGGACUGAAGGAAAAGCCAAUCAGGACGUUCAUUUCAUAUUUCCACUUCCUUUCAGGGAGCUGAACUUGAUACAGAAACAUCUCAGUCUUGUGGAUCUUCUAAACCACCUUCACACAGAAACCAAAGAAUUAAAAUCAGCAGAUUAUGAGGAUUACAAAAUCAUGUUCAUAUUUGAUGGUCUGGAUGAGUGUCGACUGCGUCUAGAUUUCCAAAACAGUCGGAGCUUGUCUGAUGUGACAGAAUCAGCUUCAGUGGGAUGUGCUGCUGACCAACCUCAUCAAGGGGAACCUACUUCCUUCUGCUCUCCUCUGGAUCACUCUCGACCAGCAGCAGCCAAUCAGAUCCCUCCUGAGUGUGUCCACCAGCUCACAGAGGUACGAGGAUUCAACGACCCUCAGAAGGAGGAAUAUUUCAGGAAGAGAAUAAAUGAUCCGAGUCUGGCUGAUAGAAUCGUCACACACAUCCGAUCAUCAAGAAGUCUGUUCAUCAUGUGUCACAUCCCAGUCUUCUGCUGGAUUUCAGCCGCUGUUCUGGAGAGGAUGAUGGGUAAAGCAGAGAGUGCAGAGAUCCCCAAGACUCUCACACAGAUGUUCACACACUUCCUGAUCUUUCAGACCAAACUGAAGACACAGAAGUAUGAUGGGAAAAUAUGAAAUCGAUCCUGAUCAGGCUAGAAAGACUAUUCUGUCUCUAGGAAAACUGGCUUUUGAGCAGCUGGAAAAAGGGAACCUGAUCUUCUACGAGGAGGACCUGAAAGGAGAGCCGGCAUUGAUGUCAGAGAAGUGUCCGUUGUACUCAGGAAGUUUGUACCCAGAUCUUCAGAGAGGAGUCUGGACUGCAGCUGGGGAAGGUGUUCAGCUUUGUUCAUCUAAGUAUUCAGGAGUUUCUUGCUGCUUUAUUCAAGCUGCUGUCCUUUUCUGAACAAAACACAGGACUGAAGAAUGUGUUCAGGUCACCAAUGAUCAGUUUACUGAAGAGAGAAGUGGACAAGGCCUUACAGAGUGAGAACGGACACUGGGAUCUUUUCCUCCGGUUCCUUCUAGGUCUCUCUCUAGAGUCUAAUCAGACUCUCUUACAAGGCGUCCUGAGAAAGACAAGUAAGCAGCUCUGAUAUCAAUCAGGAAACAGCUGCAUACAUCAAACAGAAGAUCAGGGAGAAUCCCUCUCCAGAGAAAUCCAUCAAUCUGUUCCACUGUCUGAAUGAACUGAAUGAUCGUUCACUAGAGCAGGAAGUACAAACAUACCUGAGCAGAACAGGUAUUGAUCGUCUCUCUGGAGUCUCUCUGUCUGCUGCUCAGUGGUCGGCUCUGGUGUUUGUGCUGUUGAACUCAGAAGAAGAUCUGGAUGAGUUUAAUCUGAGGAAAUAUGAUCGAUCAGAAGAAUGUCUUCUGAGGCUGCUGCCAGUGAUCAAAGCAUCUAGAAAGAUUGAGUGAGUAUUUUACAGUGUCUUUGUUUUAUUUACUUUAUUUUAUACAGUAGGCCUGUGUUUCUCUUCACUGUUUCUGUAUAUUUUGAGCUCUUUCUUAUUUGACACACUCAGCUAACAUCACAGAUCGCUCUACUAAUGAUCUGAUGAGUUGAAUCAAGUGUGUUUGAUAAGAGAGAUUCAUCCAAACUCUGCAAAGUUGAGGUGUCUUCAGGAACAGGGUUGUGACUCUGAUUUUACGAAUAUUGGAUUGAGAUCAUCAUCAAUCACUUAAAAGUUGCAUUCAGGUUUGUUGGAAUAAGUGAAAAUAACUCAAUUUCAAUCUAAUAAUUCAUGAAGUAGCCAGCUAUGAGGUCACCGAGGUCCGGACCUGGGUAAAUUUUUCAUGUUCGAAAAUUACAUUUGUUCUCUGAUUGACUAAUUUGCUGCUAAACUCCUCAUAUGAAUGUCUGCAUGUAUAAUUCAUGAUGUUUAGCGGCCGUUGUGAUCACUGCGAGACUCUUCUGAAGUGAACGAUGUCUUCAGAGAUUUGUGAGUGAGCGAGAUCCAGCUAUUAUAAGCGUUUUUGACUUGUUUUUGCACUAAAUGUAACACUUUAGAAAGUUAAUAAAGUAGGAAGUUGCGGUUUAGGGUCAGCGAUAACUUCAUUUUAUCUAAUUUCCAAAAUAUUUGAAAUAAUUUUGUUUAUUUUAUUUAUUGAUAUGUUUUUGUUUAUUUUAAUAGCAACAUCUGGCAACAUUGCAUCGCCGGCAUAAUCUGGCAGUUUUCAAAAAAAAGCAGCAGCUUUAUCUAUAGAUAAAAGUGCAAAUAUCUAUAGAUUCUAUUCAUACAAUGUUAAAAAGGCAGGAUUUUCUGCUAUUUAUAUUACUUAAUGCAAAUAGAGGCAAUUAUCUGCACCUCAGUAUUGUAGUGUAUUAUAAAAUAGUAUGCAAUAAUAACUUAUAUUAUUAUAUUAAUAAAUGAUUGAGUGUAAAUUUUAAUUUUAAAAUAUUAAAUGGACGUCAUCUUAUUGGGACAAUAAACCCCAACUUACCCUGACCCUACCCGAUACUUUUUCAACUUUUUGAUUAUUUCCUUCAUUUUCUUUCAAAAAAAUGCAUUUCUGAUGUAGCCCGGGUCGAUCGCGUCAGAAAGAACAUGACAGAGAUUUUAUCAUCUGCAUCACUGAAGCAGAUCAAGAAUCAGAUAUCUUUAGUCAUUUUUAACAGCUGAUUCACAUGUUGUGGGGCAGAGCUAGUUUAAGUAGCCUCUGUGAACAAGGUUCGCUAUCCUCAAUCCCAAAUGCAAGCUGAAAGAUAUUAUUUGACUUUUUAAUCUACACCACUGCUUUUACUUAACUACAUUUCAUAAAACAUAUCAUUACUCCUUAUAAUAUAUCACGUGCUCUGAGACGCAGAAGCGGUGUCUGAUUCAAGAACGAACUGAUUAUUUUACUGUCUAUGCUUAAACCGCACCAAAAGAUUCAUUCAGGAAUUAGAAUGAUUCGAUUGCAGCUGUUCUCGAGUCGACAUCUCACUGAUUCAAAUGAACCGUUUAGUGCGAGUCUCCAGUGAACUGAAUUCACAACCGGGAGAUCUUGUGAGCGCGCGACUGAUGCUGCUAAAAGUAAGUUAUUAAUGUCGAAUUAUAGGAUUAAUUAUUGAAACUGAAAAUCAUAUUUAGGUCAAAACUGUUAGUUGUUUGUGAGCUAAAUCUGCUGUAAAGAGUGAUCUAUUCAAGCUCACUGAAAUGCGUGAAGUCAGACACAUCAAUCAGUGUCACUCAUGUUUUAGGUAAAAAAAAAAAAAAAAAAAAAAAAAACACACAUUAAAAUAACACAAAUUAACGACAACAGCUUUAUUAGCCCUAUGUGACGUCUGUUUUCAUAUUGUUUAUCAACAGUAUACAUUUUUAAAUAGUUUGGAUUAACUAGCCGAGUAGACAGAUAUGAAUGUUUCUUCAUAACCAAACUGAAGUAAAUAUUGUUAGCUGAUGCUAACUGUCUAGCUAACAAGCUUGCUGGUGCUUAGUUAAGGUAAUCUUUAGAUAUAAAGUUCAAGUAUUUUUAUUGAACCAUCUAGAUAGAUUAGAUCUGGGGGAAAAGACAGGAUGUGAUGUUCAGAACAUGGUAACUACAGUCAGUGGUUAAAUUGGCUUUUGUAGGGAAGGGGAGCCCUUAUUUACGUCACCAUUAAAGAUCGUGCCAUAAAAUGACUUAAUGUGUUUUACACCAAAGGGGCUAUUUUUAAGUACAAUGCAUUAUGAAACAACCCGAACAACACUUGUUCAGAUGUGUGACG